rnacentral:lncRNA from 1 species
UGAUUAUUUCCGCCAAGCUUGGUUGAGAUUUAAAGUAUUCCAGUACGUACAAUUUUAGUAAAGUAUUCAAAGCUCCCCAAGGUUGAUACAAUGCAUUAUAGUUUUGUACCGUCUCCUAUAAAUACUGUACAUACUAAACUACCUCCACACAAACUUCAAACUCACAAAUAAAUCUAAACUUCAAAGAAGAAGAGGAUAAAUAGUUUUCUUUCUAAAAUGUAUGUGCAAUAAGAAUGGCGUGGCAUCUCCAUUAAACAACAACAGAUGAAUAAUAUCUUGAGUUAACAAAGCAUGAUUAGUUGAGUAGCUAAACUAAUUAUAAGUUUAGUCAUCUAUUAUAUAUUAUUUAUCAUUGUAUAUUAUACAUGACCGGAUUUUCUUCUUCCAAGGGGCUUUCUAAUGUGAAAAUCAGUGGAGUCCAUCUAAGGUUAUCCACCACUAUGCCGCCAGAAGACCCUGUAGAAGUUAAAAAUCCUAAUAAACCCAGUUUACAAAAAGAAAAAGUUUACACCCCAAAAAAAAGUAGUAAUAUUUUUUUUCAAUAAAGUUUUUCAUAACAGAGCUGGAGAAAGUCAACAUCUCAUUUUGUUCUAAAAUAUUUCCAUGAGAAAUCCCUAACCCACAACCCUAACUCCUGUUUAGAACUCAGGUAACUGAAGAUUUUUCGCAAAUUUUCCAAUGUAUACUAAAUUCUGCUCCAAAAAUCUGUCAUUUAAGCUGAAAUAAUAAAUGUAAUACUAAUUAUUUACCACAAAUUGAAAAUGGAGAAAAAAUUUAUUACUCCAAAAGGGAUGCCACAAAUAUGUCAAAUUCAAGCUCAUCGCAAUAUUGAAAUCGAAUAAAAGAGAAUACUGAUAAUUCAAUAGGUUAAAAUCCUAAAAUCCUUAAGCUUGCGACAAAUUUUCAAUAUAAAUCCAAAAGUUCAAUAGUUUUUGAUUUUUCCAAAAUUGUCUUAUUCUAUUGUUACCUUGAGUUGGUGUGGUUGAGUCGCCACUGCAAUCGCCAUGUCCCCCUAAAGGCCUACCUUUAUAUACGUCAGAGAGAGCGAGAGCGAGAGAGAGAAACAAGAAAGUCACAGACGAAGAUAAAGGAAAGCGGUGGUAAGAUGAAGAUAACUCCACAUAGAGUAACACAACUUUUCUAAUUUUUCAAAGCUCUUUAUGAAGCAUCUGAGAGUCUGAGGGGCAA